AUCACAGCACAAGCAUCGAAGAAAGGUCUACCGCUUCUUUAAGUAAGCUUGAUGGAAAAUGAGUUGAAAUUCAUGCCUGCUUAUCCCGGCUACAAUAACUAUCAAACAAUGAUCCAUCUGAAGAAUUGCACUAAUUUUGAAAUUGUAGUUGUACAACUUGUACUGGUUGGAGAGGAAAAAGGAAUUAUAUUGCUUUUGAAACUUUCCCCCUUUUUCAUCACGUAUCAAUUGUAACAAGCUGGUGGCGUAUUAUUUAUCCCACCUUGUUCCACACAUGAUGGCAGUCUAUAACCUUGGAUGGUCAGGAGAUUUGGGGAAGCUUCCAUUCUAGGAUAAAACAAGGAAGGGACACAGAAACUUUCUCGCAAAUCCUCGUUUUUUUAAUUGGGUUACGCUUGAACAUUUUGGAUGCUUC
rnacentral:misc_RNA from 1 species